UCCAAGUCACUCCUUUGCCCUCUGCCUGCUUUGGGACAGCCUCCCCUUAAACUCACAAUGACUGAGUCCCUUUCAGAUGCCCUUUCCUAUGUCUUCUUAACUUCCUCACCAGAAACGCUGCUUUAUUCUGUUAUAAAAAAUAAAGUUAACAGGGGAAGCCUUUAGAAAAAAGAAAAAGAAGCCCAGUGUUCCUGGAUGCAGAAAAAGAACAACGAGCGAGAACAGCAAAGCUGCUCCUUUUUAUGUUUAAUUGCAAUGCGUGGGGUGGGGCAGAUCUUGGAGACAAAAGAAAGCAUGUGGCUCUUAAAAAGGAAGAAGAAAAAGAGUCCUGUUGGUUCCCUUUUGGGUCUGGUUACAUCACCUGAGCCCCCCAGCACUGGGGGGGUGGUGGGCAGGAGCCCCAGCCCUGGGCCGGGUCCCCGCAGCCGUGCGGCGCAGCUUUGUUUACAGCCUAUCUGUGGUUGAAUUACACCACAUACAGUAAUUCUCCUCGCACUGCCAGUAAUUUCACUGACUUACCAAGCAGGCAUCAUUUCCUGAAAGUCAGCCCUCGUACUUAGAGGAAGUAAGAGCACUCUCCUUCAUGACUAAACACUAUAUGCAAAUCUCGCCGGGCUCAGGACAGGCGCGCUGCAUGGCUCUCCUUUUUUCCUCCAUUUUCACUCCUUUCUUCUGCGUGUCCAAAAAAAGCCUUGGUGAGCUCUCUUGCUGCUGUUGCUGUCAUGAAUGAAGAUCUUUCUCCGGUAUAUAUUGAGAAGUUCACCUUCCUGCCUGGUCUGCAUCCUGCUCUGCUCUCAGCAAACUGAAUGCUGCUUUAAAAUGUCCCAAAUGCAGUUCUGGCUGAAGUUCCCGUCUCUCUUCAAGGACUCUUCAUACCUCGAUGAGCUCUCCAACAAUAACUCUCUCUUCUCAUCUCCUACGGAUUCCCUCUCUGACAUCGUGGAUGCAAAGGACUACUUGCCUGCUGACAGCCUGAACCACGUGCCAACCAUAUGGGAUGUAAACACGUCACAGCAGAACCCAACAGAGGUACGGCUGCUUCUCUCCCAUCCUCCCCAUCAGACACUGAAUAUCUCAGGCUUCAUCCCACGGUGUUUGCCCCACGGAAUUAGGAAACACAACUCCCUACAGGGCUGAAGUUGCAGUGUGUUGAUGUUGAUGGCAGGAGGGGCAUCCCUGAAACACUCAGCAUGUGCAGGAUGGCCUGCAACAGGAGCUCAGGAGCACUGAAGAGACGGACUUGAGGAAAAACACUGUGACGUAGAUCAUUAACUGUCCCCAGCAACAUCCACCGUAUGUUUAUUUUCCAUGGCAAAUGUUUUACUAAUGAUGACUAAAACCCAAACUGUUUCAAUUUAAGGCUGAUCGUUUGUGUUUGCUUUGUGAGUCCAAAUCCCUGUAAGUUUUCACAUCCCUGAGUUUUCCUGGGCACGUGAUUUCUUGGCAGUCUGAGAGCAACAUGCAGUUCUGUGCAUUUUUACCAGAUUUCUGCUGUCUGUUUUCCCCCAUCUGCUGGGACUGCUUACUCACUGUUGCACAACCUGAUAUCAGUCCCUUCUAGCAGUCUCCAGCUGUGGUUGUUGGUGGAACCGAUACCAUGCACACCUGCUAUCUCAGCUGUUAUGGUGAAUAUCCAGCCCUGCAGCAGGUUCCUUUUGUGGAUCAUUAUCUCACAGAGAUGGUAGGGGAAAAAAAUGAAAGUGAAUGCUCCAGAGUGCAGUCUAACACACUUGUGCUUUAGUCACUGUUGCAUUUUGAGAUUUAGUUGUGUUUUUAGAGGCUGCAUUUUGCUGUUAGUGAUGUGUCAGACUCUGUAUUUCCACGAUGAAAGCUGCCUGUGUGUCUGAGCCUGGCAGUAAGAGACUUGGCAGCAGUUCUGCUCUGAAGUGAUACCAGCGUGUCUCAGUGACUGGUUGAGCACUGAAGAAGUGUGGGUUGGUGGUGAGGUCCUGGUUUGGGAAAUCAAAGCUCCUAUCUGCCUGAGACUUUGUGAGAUCUUAGGCGAGCCAUGACAACGCAGAUCCUCACGUCAGAUGCCUGAGCUCUUGCUGAACCUGAUGAGAUCUGAUGACCUUUGUAGACCUUUGCAGCAUCCUCUUGACCCUCAGUGUGCCUGCAGUUGGUGGCAGGGAGGACUCCUGCCUUCCUUCCUGUCAUAAACGUGCUGAAGACCAACGGUGCACGGCUGUGCUGGCAGUCAACGUGUGGUCUGGUAGCUUUGAACCAGGUUGAACUUGGAGAUGGGCAAGAGGAGGGCUGAGCUGUUUGAGCCAAAGAAAUGGCCAAAGAGUCCCUGGUCCCAUUGCGUGCUGCUCUCCACAUCCUCCUUGAAGCCCUUCUGGUGCCCCUUGCUGUCCUUCAGAGCACUGGCAUCCAGAUAAGGCCAAUCAACUCCUUUGAAUUCUAUUUAUAAACGACUUCCUUUUGAAAAGAACCUCUGGCUAUUUUAAACAUUGUGUUAUCUGUGUUCUCUGCAUACAGAGGUGGUGGUUUGUGUUUUGUUUUUGACUUAUUUUUGCUAAGCCUGAUGUUUCCUGACAAAAUGUAAGUGAAGUGCAGCCCAGUCGGGAGAUUUCAGUUUCAUUUUUCCAUGGGAGGUGUUAACUUGCAGGAUGCUGGAUAAAUGUUUUGUUGGAUUGACUGAU